rnacentral:misc_RNA from 1 species
UUAUGUUUUGUUGUCGCUUAGUCGAUAACAUGUAUUUGUGUAUGUUGUUGCAGUGUGUUUUUUAACGAUCGCGAGUGUAUACUAUCCCGUCUUUUUGUUUGUUCGUUUCAAUCCGUCCAGUCGGACAUGACAGAGGUUAGGUGCGGUGUUAUUGUUGUUCGUAAUACGCAGUAGUGCAGGUGCCGGUGUUGUGUCGGCGGCUCUCCUUUUUUUUUGCGAUACGCAUCGGGGCAAAAGUUGAAAAGAUCAGAAAGUGUUUUCGUUCCACCUGUGCAUCUCUCCGCGUGUGGGUGCGCGCUUACGCGCGACGGUUGGAAACGUGCAGGUUGCAAAGAGCAGCCGAAAUUGCGACUAAUGGCUGUUAUGUUCGGCUGACGGAUUUCCAAGGUGGUGGAGGUGCACUGCUUUUAUUGCACUUACAGUUGGAAAAAAAAAAAUUGAGUUCUGCGUUUUUUAAUCAAUUACACGCGGGUGUGAGUGUUUUGUUUGUGCGGGUCAAUGUAGUAUAUGAAAAUGAUAGAAUGUUCCGUUGAGUGAGCAAGUGAGGGCAAGUUCCUGAUGCGGCUGUUUAUGUGCACAAAAAAUAGGAGAACCAUCCCAACGGCGGGUGUUCACAAGAACCUGCAGGACGUUGUCGUCGCAUGCACUACUUAUACACUGCUCCAUCUGUCAGUGAUUAUAAUUUCGUCGUCGAUAACUACCCGAUUCGAAAUCCAACAGCCCUCGAUAAGAACGACCGACACGUUUGAGGGAGGGAAAAUCGAGAUGGUUGCAUUUACGCGCCGCUCGAGGAUCCGUCGUCUCUUUUCCUCCACGUGGUCGCCGCGCUACUGCUGAUCGUCGGCUAAUUUACGCCGUGCACAACUGUUGCUUGGCUACUCGGAAUCGCCGAUUGAUGGUGCGAGACGAGAGCAGUUCUUCAUCCGAGCAAACAAUCUAUUGGCAUCGCACAAAUGUGCACACACACACGUAUAAAAUGGAUGGACUGCACACUUUGGGGUGAAAGACGUGACAAUUGCUAUCGUCCUGUUUUCAGCAUCUCCUGAACUUACGAUUGUAACCCUGCGCUGAUUGACAACCGACGACGGAUGCGGAUCAAACACUUGGCUAAGGACUACUGCGUGUCACACGGCGGACUGGCUGCCCUGGAUGUAUAUACAGCUGGAGUGAUGAUGACGUUUUACCUGCACUUGACUGUGGCCGGAGAGCGAUAGGAAAAUGUUGAACCCCGAAACGAGCUGCUACUCCG